UUCAUGAGUAUACAUUCGAUUUUUCUCUGUGUGGUACUGGUUGGGUGUCAAACCAUUCAGUAGAAGGAGGAGAGAUCUCCCAGGAGAACAACUUGAAAUCAAUAAAAAGGAUUAUGAGGACACAGGAGUUUGUGAAGCAAUUUAGCAAGGUAUCCAGGAAGUCAGGGAAUUCUCUGAAGAGCUGGGUGAUUGUGCAAACUGUAACAUGACUAGAGCAAAAGAAACAGUAAACUACGUGGAACUUGGGUCAGUGAAGGUGCCAAGGGUGUGGCAUACUUAGCAAGGGUGUGGUGUGGUGGGCAGGUGGGAUGCAGUUAAGUUUGGGGGUAAAUGGCAAAUAUCAGGCAACUGAGUGAGUGAGAGACAAGCUCCACCAACAAUCUGUUAAGAGGUUAUCUAUGAUAGUGGAGUGGUUUAUCCCACGCAGACCCUCCACCCUCUGACUGGGGAGGAAGAUAUCAGUUCCGAAGCAGGAGACUCCACCCACCAGACAAUUGCAGGGUUAAGAUACAAAUGGGGAAGGCCCCUGAGUUGUUUGCCCAUGAAAGGGAGGUGACAGCUCCAUUGUGGUGGAGGGUUGGGUAACGAGUAAGCUCUCCACUGGCAGAUCUUUCAACUCCUAAGAAAGGAAAAAGAUGUGUGUGUUGAAGAAGCUAGUCUAUUCACUAGCAGAAAUGAGCCCAUGUUAGGGAAGUCUUUCGGCAUUGUCUAAAAGAGGAUACAAACAGAGCACUGUUGUUACAGGGAAAGAUUACUCCCUGCUUAUCUUUUGGCCUCAGAAGUAGAAGAGUGUCUGAUCUCUACAAAUCAGAGAAUUAGUUGUCCAGACCCUUAACAGAAGGCCCUUAGGAACUUGGCUCACAAGGAUGGAGAAUUCAAAACUCCACCAAUAUGCUGGGAGAGAAGUGGAAUGGUUAUAAAGCUGAUUCUCUGGGUAUCUGAAAACUUUGGAGUAGGGGAGAUGAGUUUAGGUCUGUUUAAGAGACUUCGUUUUCUUGGCACCAGGAGGGUCAAGGUCCAAGUUUUUUGGACCCUGGAAAAGGAAUUCCAGAUCUUCUCUCAUACCUACAACCUCAUGCCUCACAUCCUGGAAGAGGAAGAUAGAGAAGUGAAACAGCUGGUUAUUUGAAAUUGUCCAUUCUCUGGCAAGCAAGGAAAGAUGGAGAAUUGAAUCCGAACAGAAAUGCAGUUGGCCAUGGAGAAGGAGGAAAGGCUGAAUUGGCUCUGACACAUCCAGCAGGAAACCUCCAGUGGAAGGUAGUAGGCAAAGAGUAGAUACUGAAGGCAGCAAAUCCCAAAUCACCCUGUUGUGGAUGCUCUCAAUCUGUGGGUGAAGAGAAGGAUGGCCCUGUGACCUGCUUUAACCAACAGAGUGUGGCAGAAGCAAUGAUGUUUCAAUUCAAGUCCGAAACCUUAAGAAGGUCUGCAAGUUCCCACUUUUGUGCUCUAGGGGAAGCUAGCCACCACGUAAGAAGUCUGACUACCCUAAGACCGUCUCUCUGUGAGAAUUUCAACCUAGCUCUGUGGAGAGGCAUGGGAAAGAGACCUGAAGGUCCUGGCCAGCAGCUCCAGCAGAGCUCCCAGCCAACAACCAGCACCAAUUUGCCAGCCAUGUAAGAGUAAGGCAUCUUGGAAGUGACUCCUCUAAGAACUGCCAGGCUGUUACCAUGUGGAGCAGAGAAGAUCCAGUUCCACCAAGCCCUGCCCAGAUUGGAGAAUCAUGAGCUAGUAAAGAAAAUGAUUGUUGUUUUAAGCCA
rnacentral:lncRNA from 1 species